rnacentral:lncRNA from 1 species
GAGGCCUUUCGGACAAUGAUGCUGCUCCAUGGCAUGCCAGACGCCAUCCUGUGCCGAGCUUUUCCAUCUAUCUUGAAGGGAGCAGCAAGAAAUUGAUACUCGACAUUGAAGCUGGGUACUAUCUUCUCCUUUGAUCAAAUGAGCCACCAGUUUGCGGCUCAUUUCGUCAGCAGCCGACGUCUCCGGAGAGGUUCAGAGUCCCUC